UGUGGGAGAUCCAGAGAAGAAGUACACUGGAUGGAGACCUAUUGGCAGUGGGGGGUUUGGAACCGUUUAUAAGGCCUUCAACGCUGCCACAGGACGAGCGGUGGCCAUAAAGCAACUUAAUCUCCAGUGCCAGGGCUGCGAGGAUGUGUUGAAGGAAAUCCUGGUCAUGAAAGAAUAUAAGAACCCCAAUAUUGUCACCUACCUAGA